GACGAACCGUGCGAACGUUGUUCGGAAUCACUGGGCUUAAAGGGCGCGUAGGCGGGUCUGCAAGUCUGCGGUGAAAGCCCCCAGCUUAACUGGGGAAGUGCCGUGGAUACUGCGGGUCUCGAGGAGGGUAGGGGCAUCUGGAACAUUGGGUGGAGCGGUGAAAUGACGUUGAUAUCCACAGGAACUCCGGUGGCGAAAGCGGCGUGCUGGACCUCUUCUGACGCUGAGGCGCGAAAGCUAGGGGAGCAAACGGGGA
rnacentral:rRNA from 1 species